CCAGGGCGGGGGUCUGGGCUUUAGGCAGGUAGUAUUUAGUUUCACAAUGUUUGGGGACCUGUUUGAAGAGGAAUAUUCCACUGUGUCUAAUAAUCAGUAUGGAAAAGGGAAGAAAUUAAAGACUAAAGCUUUGGAGCCACCUGCUCCUAGAGAAUUUACCAAUUUAAGCGGAAUCAGAAAUCAGGGUGGAACCUGUUACCUCAAUUCCCUUCUUCAGACUCUUCAUUUCACACCUGAAUUCAGAGAAGCUCUAUUUUCUCUUGGCCCAGAAGAGCUUGGUUUGUUUGAAGAUAAGGAUAAACCCGUUCGAAUCAUCCCUUUACAGUUACAGCGCUUGUUUGCUCAGCUUCUGCUCUUAGACCAGGAAGCUGCAUCCACAACAGACCUCACUGACAGCUUUGGGUGGACCAGUAAUGAGGAAAUGAGGCAACAUGAUGUGCAGGAACUGAAUCGAAUCCUCUUCAGCGCUUUGGAAACUUCUUUAGUUGGGACCUCCGGUCAUGACCUCAUCAAUCGUCUGUAUCAUGGAACCAUUGUUAACCAGAUUGUUUGUAAAGAAUGUAAGAACGUCAGCGAGAGGCAGGAAGACUUCUUAGAUCUAACAGUAGCAGUCAAAAAUGUAUCUGGUUUGGAAGAUGCUCUCUGGAACAUGUAUGUAGAAGAGGAGGUUUUUGAUUGUGACAACUUGUACCACUGUGGAACUUGUGACAGGCUGGUUCAAGCAGCAAAGGUAAAGACAGAUACCUGCUUUUUCCCAGGGUCCCCACUUUGUAGUUAGUACAAGU
rnacentral:sRNA from 1 species